AGUGAACGCUGGCGGUAGGCCUAACACAUGCAAGUCGAACGGCAGCACAGUAGGAGCUUGCUCUUACGGGUGGCGAGUGGCGGACGGGUGAGGAAUACAUCGGAAUCUACUUUUUCGUGGGGGAUAACGUAGGGAAACUUACGCUAAUACCGCAUACGACCUACGGGUGAAAGCAGGGGAUCUUCGGACUUUGCGCGAUUGAAUGAGCCGAUGUCGGAUUAGCUAGUUGGCGGGGUAAAGGCCCACCAAGGCGACGAUCCGUAGCGGGUCUGAGAGGAUGAUCCGCCACACUGGAACUGAGACACGGUCCAGACUCCUACGGGAGGCAGCAGUGGGGAAUAUUGGACAAUGGGCGCAAGCCUGAUCCAGCCAUACCGCGUGAGUGAUGAAGGCCUUCGGGUUGUAAAGCCCUUUUGUUGGGAAAGAAAAGCAGCAGGUUAAUACGCCGCUAUUCUGACGGUACCCAAAGAAUAAGCACCGGCUAACUUCGUG
rnacentral:rRNA from 1 species